rnacentral:tRNA from 1 species
UGAGGGUUCGUCCAAUGGCAGGACAGCAGGCUCUGGACCUGUAUAUUGAGGUUCGAAUCCUCGCCCCUCAG